UACAUGCAGUCGAGCGGACAGAAGGGAGCUUGCUCCCGGAUGUUAGCGGCGGACGGGUGAGUAACACGUGGGUAACCUGCCUGUAAGACUGGGAUAACUCCGGGAAACCGGAGCUAAUACCGGAUAGUUCCUUGAACCGCAUGGUUCAAGGAUGAAAGACGGUUUCGGCUGUCACUUACAGAUGGACCCGCGGCGCAUUAGCUAGUUGGUGGGGUAAUGGCUCACCAAGGCGACGAUGCGUAGCCGACCUGAGAGGGUUGACGGCCACACUGGGACUGAGACACGGCCCAGACUCCUACGGGAGGCAGCAGUAGGGAAUCUUCCGCAAUGGACGAAAGUCUGACGGAGCAACGCCGCGUGAGUGAUGAAGGUUUUCGGAUCGUAAAGCUCUGUUGUUAGGGAAGAACAAGUGCGAGAGUAACUGCUCGCACCUUGACGGUACCUAACCAGAAAGCCACGGCUAACUACGUGCCAGCAGCCGCGGUAAUACGUAGGUGGCAAGCGUUGUCCGGAAUUAUUGGGCGUAAAGGGCUCGCAGGCGGUUUCUUAAGUCUGAUGUGAAAGCCCCCGGCUCAACCGGGGA
rnacentral:rRNA from 2 species